AAAAAAAAAAAAAAAAAAUCUCCCAAAAUACUCCUUUAUGGGGACUUUGAAUUGCAGAAAACAGGUUCAAAGGGUCUGUCUCGAAUAUUGCCGAGGAUGAUUCCAGCGCCACAGCAAGCUUCAUCGCCUCAAGCAUCGCCUUUGCUUCCUCAGCCAAAGGAGAAAAGCAGAAAACUCUUUUUGCCGCCCUAUCUAUCAAUAGUCCAACAUUAAUCAUUCCUGUCACUGCAAAUUCCAUAUAUAACUUCUUACCUGAAUCACCAUUUUAUUUUAUAAUUUCUUGUUAAGCAAUCUCGCUUUUCUCUAUUUAAAAUCACUUCUCCAUCGAUUGAAUCGCUUCUCCCACCUCUCUACAUUUCUCUUCUCUGCCACAAGGGAAAGAAGAAAUUAUCAAUCAUCAACAUUUCUUUCUCUCUCUGGAUGGAAGCACCGACAUUGUAACUGAAAACCCUAAAGCGAUUUGUUAGCGAUCUUCCUUUCUUUCAUGGAUACUUGAUCUUUAUCAGGAUAUAGAAGAAAGAGAGAGAGAGAAAGGAAACCUCUGGCCCCUUCAUUGUUCGAAUUUCUUGAUCCCCUGGCCUCUUCAUUGCUUGGCGGCUAGGCUACUAGCGGUUUUCCAUCAUCGCGCGCAGUUCCAUCACUGAAGAACCUGACCUAGCUGCUAAAGAUGGAAGAAGAGCCCAACCCUGUUCACUCCCCUCCUCAAAACUCCGUAACUCCUCUUACAAAUGACAGAUACGAGCGUAUAAUGAGCAAUCUCAGAGCCUCGGUGUUUUCGAAAAUAAGCCCCUCGGGAGACAUUGCGCCUCAAAUCAAGACCUACAUUGAAAAACGGCUGCGAGAAUUCUUCCCCAGUUUCCACACACCCUCUCACCCACCUUACGCCUCUAUGAUUCUAAGGGCAAUUUCAGAGUUGAAUGAUGAAGGGGGGUCCACCGAGGAGGCAAUAUCAGCAUUUAUUAAAAGAGAGUAUGAGCAUUUGCCAUGGGGGCAUGAGAGUUUUUUGAGUCAUCAUUUGAGGAAGCUUUGUCGGAAUUUGGAGAUAGAAUGUGUAAAUAAUGGACGAUAUAUGCUUUUAUUUGAAGAUUGUGAGUUUAAGGAGAUGACAGGAGCAAGUAGGAAAAAGCAGGGUCGCAGAGGUAGGCAGGGCAGGAAAAAAGGCAGAGCGAAGGAGAUGAAGAAACAAAGUCAAGCUGAAAACCAACAAAUUGAAGUAUAUAAAGAGGUGCGCAUCAUUAUUAUAUAGUUUAUUAGAAAAAAGUGUUAAUCCUCAACUUUUGAUGCUGCCAUCAGCAUUCUAUUAUUAUUAUUUUUUUGCAUGUAUUCAAGUUUAUUUUUUGCCCUUUUUUCCUUUGUUUAACCAAAGAAAAAAGAAUAGUAAGCUUGCAUUAGAUGGAAGGAUGAUGAGCAUAAGAUUCUUAUGCACUUGAUAGCAAACAGGUUCUGUUGGAAAGUCAUGCAUUAGAUACUUGUUUUUCCUUAUUCCAAAUUUGCAUUGGUACAUAUAAACAGCAAGUUAUGCAGAAUCUAGGAUUCAUUUUGUGUUGAGAUGUAUAAAACAUUAAUUGCAUGUUUAUUUUCUAAGAGAUGAAAUAGCCUUGGUGUCAGGAGACUCUGCAAGCUAUGGAACUGAAGCAGCACAAGGACCAGAAGACCUCAUUGGAGAGAGAUGUCGAGAUGGGAUUUAACAAGCAAGAUGAAGUUCAAGACUUUGUGACCCAGAACUUGGACUAUGAUCAUCCUGCGGUGGAAGAGGAAAAGCAACUGCAAAUUACAAGUCCUUGUGAAAAGAGGGAAAUCAUUUGUGGUCUGUUGUCAGUACGGCACCCUCAACCAAAGAAUCUCUCUCAUCAACAAAUGAGAGCCAAUUUACACCCGGUUGAAUCAUCAUCUUUUCUUGAAUCGCGCACAGAUCCAGAGCAGCAUCUUGACCUUUCUACCAUGAAAAGAUCUCCUAAACCAAAAGCACCUGUAAACAAAAAUAUCUUGACAUCAUCUUUUUCAUAUCCUCAGCAUCAAUAUGAGCAGCAGCAAUCUAAGCCUCGAGGCAGAGGGAGGCCCCGUAAACUAAAGUCCGAUACAGACAUGAUUAAAAAGAGUCUGUUACCAUCCAGUGAUCAUGGUUGCAAUGAGCAACAGCAGCAACUGGAGGGUCCAGGCAAUGGAAGGUGUCCAGUGCCAGAGUCAAAUUUAGUAGCAGAUGCAACCACAUCAUCACACUCCCAUGAUCAGAAUCACAAUGAGCAGCAGCAACCGCUGAGGAAAACAGGAGGCAGGCUUCCUAAAAGGAAAAGAAAAUGCUGUUGACAUCUAUAAUCAUGCACGUAAGGUGGUAUUUAUGGACUAGUAAAUUUUAAAAUUAGUUUCUCUGUGACAUGGUUUGUAAAUACUGAAAUUCCCUAGAGUAAGUUGGACGGAUGCUUGGUAUUUUACUUUUCGCCGAUUCAGUAGCAGAAACUUGCAGUUAUUUUGUGCCGAAUGAUUAAUGGUAGAACAAGGGCUAUAGCAAUAGUGGGAAUGGUAUGUAGCUUUAUUCUCGAACGCUCAUCACAAUAGGUAAAAGCGUAAAAGGAACUCUGGUUGGAUCUAUCAAAGAUUUAAAACUUUGAUAUGGAUGUCAAUUCAGCCCUGGUGGAGUGGCUUGCUUCUUUUCUUUUGGGCUGAUUUAGGUGAACUAUAUUUUUUUAUUUAGCUUUGCCUGAUUGAUGAACAUCAUUUUCUUAAUUUAUUUACCA
rnacentral:misc_RNA from 1 species